GCUGAGUUAGACAUUCUCUCCUCUGAGACAGCUAAAGAGAAGGAAAGUCUGGUGGCUGGCAAGUAAACCAACAGUUAUGUUCUUCAAAGAGGAGAUCCCAGACUCUCUAAAGUAUACUUCACUCCCACACUGUUUGUACUUCUUAAUCUCCACUCCUUUCUUGUUUCCUUCAUAAAAGUAGAAUGCUAUUCAUUUAUUUAUUUGCAAAUGUACCCUGCCCCCCUAAAAUGUAAAGUCAUUGAUGGUAGUGACCUUACCUUGUCUUUUUAAUGAAUCUCGGGCAUUGCAAGACUGUUAGGGCUUCAUUUCGGGAAAGAACUAGAAUGGUUUGUAGAGUGACACUUUAUACUGAAGAGGAAGGCAACAGCCAGAUUCUGAAAAGCUUUAUAUGUCAUCCUGAGUAAUUUGAAUUUCUGCUGCAGACAAUUGGAGAAACUGAAGGACUGUUGAACAGAGGAGGGAAACAUUUUUAUUUUGGUAGACUUUUGCAACAGUGACAAAUUAUAUUAAAAAGAUAAGGCUGCCAAAAAUGUAUAAUCCCAGUUUAACCAUGAGAAAAACAUCAGACAAAAUACCUAACCAGUACUACUCCAAACAGUUAAAGUCAUGAAAAACAAGGAAAGUCUGAGAAACUGUCUGAGCCAAGAGGAGCCUAAAGAGACCAACUUUAAUGUGGGUUCCUGAAACAGAAAUAGAACAUAAGUGGGAAAACUAAUGAAAAUUGAAUAAAAAGAGAAUAUACCAAUCUUUACAUAAAACAUGGAGAUUGGUCAAGAGAUGAGUAACCGGACCUUUCAAUGUUUCCAGGAUAGAGGCCCACUCAAGGGUUAGGGGAAGGUACUUUGUUCAAUAGUAAACUAUUGAACAAAUAUAAGGGUGCUUCAGCCUACAAUUCCAGCUGUACUUACAUGGGAAUGAAUGAGCCUUCAGAUUGUUCCUAUCAUACAGUCUUUCAGCUGGGGUCCCAAAUUUCGUAAAGCAAAGACAAACCAUCCCCACUGUGCCCAGUUCUGAAUUCCUGACCCACAGAAACAAUUAGAGGGAACGAAAAUGAUUCUUGUUACUUUAAGCCAGUAAAUUUUGGAGUUAUUUUUCAGCAAAAGAAACUAAUCUGCUAUAUGACAACAGCCAGUGAGUAAAUAUCCUUUCAAGUCCAAUCCUGCCUAAGAUGUCAAAAUCAAGAAUGAGGAGGUUAUGUGCUAAAACAGAGUGAGUCCUUUUCUCUCCUUACUCUACCCUAAGUGGUAAACUCCUGCCUCAGCUGACCACAAAAAAUAUCUUCUGGAUAUCUGUGAGGAGAAAGGAGGUAAAGCAACAAAAAUUGUGUGUGGGCUUAGAUGUUUUGUUAGAAUUACAACAGCCCAUGUGUAGCGUAGCAGAAACCAUUACAAUGAUGACUACACGGUAUAAGUACAAAAAUUUCCCCUCAUUGUAACCAUAGUCAUCUAAACUGUACAAGUUAGUUUAUUUAUAGUUUUAAUUUAUACAUCUCCAGGGAAGCCAGAAACUUCAGUUUCUCUCCCCACCUCUCUUCUCUUGCACUUUAAAAUGCUACUAAGACAAGGAAAAAGGAAAGGAAAUUUGUUCCCUCCUGGCUAACAGCUGGUCCAUCUUUGAUCACUAGGAUGAUCAAAGAAAUGUUCCUUUACCAUAUUUGGCAUAUCCUCCUCCUAUUCCAGACCACUUCCUUCGGAAUCUAUCUUUUUAUCAAUCUACUCCGACCCUUCACAUCAAAUAAUUUCAGUGACAUACAGCAGACGGACACCUCCAAAAAUACUAUCAAGACUACAUGUUGUUCAUUUAAGUUAAAAAUAAAAUGUAAACCUACUUAUCAUGACUAGGGCUCAGUGCCAACAUUUUGGCAGUUCAAGAAUAUCCAUUAAGGAAAAUAUUCUUAAUUAGAUGCUAAGGGCAAAGCUGUGUCCAAAUUAACCAACUCUAUUAGAGCGAGGUCUGGAUGCUGACUUAAAUUUGGAGAAUCAAGUAACAUUCCUGCCCUUGCCCAAGCCCAAGCAGGUAUGUGCUGUGGUUUGAAUGUGUUCUCUAAAAAUUCAUGUGUUGGAAAUGUAAUUGCCAUUGUAAUAAUAUUAAGAGGUGAAGCCUUAAAGAGGUGAUUUAGACCAUAGGGGCUAUGCCCUCAUGAAGGGAUGAAUGCCAUUACUGUGGGAGUGGAUUACUUAUCAUGGGAGUAGGAUCCUGAUAAAAAGGAUACAUUUGGCCCCCAUUUUCUCUCUGUCUUGUGCACUGUCACUACUUUGUCUCAGCCUCUCUCCUCAUGUGAUGCUUUCUGCCACAAAAUGACCUUCACCAGAUGCAGCCUCUGGAUCUUGGACUUCCGCAGUCCCCAGAACUAAUCGGUGAAGGCCAGAAGAGAGUGGACCAUCUUUAAAGUGCUGAAAAAAAGGCAGUCUAUCCAGACUUCUGUGUCUGAUAAAGUAUCCUUCAAGAAUAAGGAAAUAAACAUUUCCAGCUGAGCAGAGCCCCAUAAAUGAGAAGCCACGAAGACUUGAGGUUAUACAGUGAUCCACAGUUGCCACAGAACUGAGCAAUGGCUACAAGUUCCACCAAACCAUGCCUGUGAAGGUUACUUCUGUAAAAUCAGACAUGGCCAAUAUAUGCAUCUGGACCCUCCUUCAGCUGUCCAAGGUCAAGAGGUCCUCAGCCAAGACAAUUACAAGAUAUGGUCUCCUGAGUCUGAGUCUUCACAGGAACCUGCCCCAAGAGGCAAGAAUGAGGGGAUGCUUUGUGAGGAAUUUCCUGAAAAUCAAGGAGUAAGACCCAGAGGACAGGGGCAGUCUCUGCUCAUUCUCCAGCCAUGAGUCCACUCGGUCACAAAACAGGCCUGAACUCAUUUCCUUUGCUGCCUGAGCUUUCAAGAUUUCAAGAUCAUGGAAAACCUAAGUAGUCCCUGGGAAUGAGGCAUUUAUGUCCUUAUUCUUUGGUAAGGAGAGAAGAAAAGAAGAGGAGAGAGGAUGGUAUAAUGAAAGGAUCAAGGAGUGCUGUUAUUUUUUGAGCAAGUGAGACCAUUUGUUUAUUCUAUACAUAGGCUUUGACUCCAUUUAUUAUUUUGAACAAUCAAGAAAAAUAGCUUUCUUGAUGGUGGCAGAAGAGUGAUAUAGAAAAAGCUUUAUUGAUGGUGGCAGAAGAGUGAUGUAGAAAAAGAGCAAGGAUUUAAGAAGCAAGAAUGUUGUUCUCAAAAUUGAAACCUAACCUAGAAAAUCACAUUUGUGACCAAUGAUUAGAAUGUCACUAUGUAUUUCUUUGCAAAGAUACUCUCUUGCAUAAUUAGCCCUUAACAAUAAUAAAAGCAGGCAUCUUCGAAUUUAUUUUUAUAUAUGAUGGUAUAUGGAAACAAGUUAUACUUUAUUCAUGCAUAUGCCAGAUACUCCUCAUUUCUAAAUUGUCAAUGUUUUUAUUGGUAAAAAUCAUAUAUAUUAAAGCUACAUUUUUGUUGUAUAUAUUUAAUAUAUACAAUAUGAUGCUCUGAUAUACAUUGUGAAGUGAUUACUAUAGUCAAGCAAAUUAACAUAUCCAUCAACUCGCACAGUUACCCUUUUGUAUGUGUGGCAAGAGCAUCUAAAUUCUACUUUCUUAGCAAAAAAUCCCAAAUACAAUACAAUAUUAA